AUUCGAUAAAGGUAAACCUCGAGUGAUCGGGGGGCGCAAAGGAAAGGGUCUUGUAACAGUGGACAGUGCUGGUGGGCAGUGUCAGUUUAAAUAACAGACACUUACACUCAUAACCGACACGUUGAAAUAAGAUAGCCUUACUGCCGAA
rnacentral:ncRNA from 1 species